UACGUAGGUGGCAAGCGUUAUCCGGAAUCAUUGGGCGUAAAGGGCGCGCAGGUGGUUCUGUAUGUCUACCGUGAAAGCGUACGGCUCAACCGUAUUUUGUCGGUAGAAACUGCAGGACUUGAGGCUGGGAGGGGCUGGUGGAAUUCCCUGUGUAGCGGUGAAAUGCGUAGAGAUGGGGGAGAACACUCGUGGCGAAGGCGGCCAGCUAGACCAGUUCUGACACUGAGGCGCGACAGCGUGGGGAGCAAACAGG
rnacentral:rRNA from 1 species